UACGUAGGUGGCAAGCGUUGUCCGGAUUUACUGGGCGUAAAGAGCGCGCAGGCGGUCGUGCAAGUCGCGUGUGAAAGCCCCCGGCUCAACUGGGGAGGGUCACGCGAUACUGUUCGACUUGAAGGCAGGAGAGGGAAGUGGAAUUCCCGGUGUAGUGGUGAAAUGCGUAGAUAUCGGGAGGAACACCAGUGGCGAAGGCGACUUCCUGGCCUGUUCUUGACGCUGAGGCGCGAAAGCUAGGGUAGCAAACGGG
rnacentral:rRNA from 1 species